GCUUUACAUUUAAUGAAAUACUAGAAGCCACUAACGCGGCACUGACCAAUAUUGAUCCAAGCGAGUAUGAAAUCAAAGUUCCACCAAAGGACACUAUACUUCGCCUAUUCAGGCUUAUUCUAGAGAACAAUUAAUUUAUUUUUAACAAUAAACUUUACCGUGAAACCUUGGGCGUGCCUAUGGGCGGAUCGGCAUCUGCUGAAUUGGCAGACCUUACAAUGUUUGUCAUUCUUGAAAACGUUUUACAACGCUUUCAGUACAGAAACAAAAUGAUAA
rnacentral:lncRNA from 1 species